rnacentral:lncRNA from 1 species
GUCUGUGUGAGUAAGUCCUGAGCCAUUGCGGUGGUUUGGAAACUUGAACCAUAUGCUGGGUUAAAGUGGUUUUGUAAUAACAGCAGCUAACAUAUGAGUACAAGGAACCGAGUAGGCACUUUACCUGCCUCUCAUUUCAUCUCCUGCCAGGGCCGUGAGGUCAAUCUUAUUGUCUCCUUCAUUGCCUUUAUGUGACGUGCCCAGGGACUCCAGGUCGGUAGCAGCAGAGCUGGGACUGAGAUCUGAGCUAACAAUCUCCCAAGCCCGUGCCCCUGACCCGACUCCACACAGCUCAGAAGACGAGCACACUGGAGGGAGGCGAAAGGAGAGGAGAUAUUUGUUCCAUGUUAUGGAAACUUCUUUUUCCUCCAGAUGCUGUAGGUAUUUAAGAACAAUACCAGACCUUCCUGCACUUCAACACCUUCUCUCCCAGAACACAAUGCUGCCUGCAUGUAAUGGGCCCUCGGAGAAUGUUUGUGGGAUGAGUGAAUUGACGGACACUGAAUUGGAAACUACAUUGCAUUCACCUCAUUACAGCUCUACCUUCAGCACCACUGAGCUGUCCACAGCACUCUCUGGAACUGGAGAGUACGGAGUGGAUGAGUUAUUGUGAGAGUGGGUUCAUCACAAAAGCACUUCUCUCUACUCUCUCGUGCCCUCUUGUCUUCUGCCAUGGGAUGACACAGCAAGAAGGCUCUCACCAGAUGCCAAUGACAUGCUCUUGGACUUCCUAGCAUCCAAACCUAUGAGCCAAAUAAAUUUCUGUUCUUUUUAAACUGCCUAGUCUGUGAUAUUCUGUCAUAGUAACAUAAAAUGAACUAAGACAUCUCCCUUUGAAUGGGCUUGACCUCUCUAUCAAAUGCCAAGCUGAAGAUAAUGACUUCUGUCUCCAAAAUCCAUCCAGUUACCUCCCAUUUGCUAGUUUUGACCUCUGGGCACGCAUUCUUGCUUUUUCUGGUUUUCCAACCCUCAUUUAGUUCUGCAUCUGAUCUCUGGGUACUAAUAUCAGCACUCACCCACUCUUUGUUGAUAAUCACUGUGGAUCUCUUUCCCUGGAUCAAGCACCACUCUCUUCCAUAUAGUCCAUCCUGAUCUUUUCCCCUCAAGCCCUUUGCACAAUGGCUCUGAAAAGAUGCAUAUCUCUUCAGUUUGCUUCUGCACUAGGAAGCAGAAUAGGCCAUCUUGUUGUUCAAGGCCAGCUUGCUUAAAGUGAACACUCUUGGCAUCUUUUCUCUUUGGCUGCUACAGUUCAAUACUGAAGUUCUACUAUGCUAGAUACUAAGUAUAUACAGAUGAAUAAGACAAAAAUACCUGCUUUUAGGAAGCUUACAAUCUGGUGGGAGAGAGAAAGCAGCAAAUAAGUAAAAUAUAUCAAUCAAGAUUCAGUUUCAGGACAAGCUUAGGUAAAAAAGAAAAGAGAGGGUGUUAAGAGAGAUGAAGUUAUUAGUUCAUUAUAUCAUAUAACUUAAAAGUUGAAAAGUAAAUGUUUUUAGGCAUGACAAGAUCCAGGGCUUCUAAUGUCCUGAGGACCGUGUCCCUCUCCUCUUUCCAGUCCCCUUUUCUCUGCCUUGGCUUUACUCUC